UACGGGGGGGGCAAGCGUUGUUCGGAAUUACUGGGCGUAAAGGGCUUGUAGGUGGCCAACUAAGUCAGACGUGAAAUCCCUCGGCUUAACCGGGGAACUGCGUCUGAUACUGGAUGGCUAGAGUGCGGGAGAGGGAUGCGGAAUUCCAGGUGUAGCGGUGAAAUGCGUAGAUAUCUGGAGGAACACCGGUGGCGAAGGCGGCAUCCUGGACCACGACUGACACUGAAAAGCGAAAGCCAGGGGAGCAAACGGG
rnacentral:rRNA from 1 species